GGUUGUGGCUCAGCGGUAGAGUGUGUGCCUAGCAUGUAUGAGGCCCUGGGUUUGAUCCUCAGCACCA
rnacentral:tRNA from 1 species